CGGGGCGUAGCGCAGUCUGGUAGCGCGCCUGCUUCGGGAGUAGGAGGCCGCUGGUUCGAAUCCAGUCGCCCCGA
rnacentral:tRNA from 1 species